rnacentral:tRNA from 2 species
GCCCGAGUGGCGGAAUAGGUAGACGCAACGGACUUAAAAUCCGUCGGUUGUUUGACUGUACCGGUUCAAGUCCGGUCUCGGGUACCA